rnacentral:sRNA from 1 species
GAGGCGCUUGGGAGGACUCCCCCAGUUCUGUUAAGAGCUGGGCACAAAGAGCCCUUUGCACUCCAGCCGCAGGAGCGAGGAGGAGCCGAGCUAGAUGCACAUGGGCGUGGGGACUCCGGUACAACACCAACCCACAAGACCUGGGGCGUCCAGCGCAGCCUCAAACCCAGGGCAUCUCUGCACUCUCAUCGCGACGUCGCUCUGGAUGCUGUUUGCAUAUCCUUGGGGAGUCACUGCUUUGGCACAACAGUCCUGCGAGGUGCUGGAAUUCCGUCUGUUCUCAUCACACGGACAUGGCUGAUCUGUCUCAGUGGUACCUGGGGGCAAAGCAGGGAGCCGGGCGGUGGAGGCCAACAUUGUUACCAAGUUGGCUCUGUCUCAACACAGGGACUGAGCCUUCUGAGCCUCAAGAGUUCCUGCUGGUUCCCAGGUGGUGGA